rnacentral:lncRNA from 1 species
AUCCCAAGAGCCUUAUAGCUUGUUUGGUACCCUAUAGUCGGAAACAAGUAGGUGUCUAGCCCUAGACUUGAUUUGGACCUUAUCCAAUUUUGAUCUCAUCCUGCAUUAAUGGGCCUGGCAGAACUAAAUGCUGCAGGUUUUCUUAAUUUAACCCUAUAAUGCCCAAAGAAAAUGGUUAAAAUAUGUCAACUUUAGUCCAUAUCCACAUCUAAAGGAACUCGUAA